UACGUAGGGUCCGAGCGUUGUCCGGAAUUAUUGGGCGUAAAGGGCUCGUAGGCGGUUUGUCGCGUCGGGGAGUGAAAACCUACAGCUUAACUGUGGGCUUGCUUUCGAUACGGGCAGACUUGAGGCAUGCAGGGGAGAACGGAAUUCCUGGUGUAGCGGUGAAAUGCGCAGAUAUCAGGAGGAACACCGGUGGCGAAGGCGGUCUCUGGGCAUGUUCUGACGCUGGAGGAGC
rnacentral:rRNA from 1 species